GCUAGCAUGGUGUAGUGGUCUGAAUGUUGGACUAGGGCUCUGGAGACCAGGGUUCAAAUUCCGGUUGUGCCA